GGGCUGGCUCUAGCUCAGCAGUUUCUUCAACUGAAUCAUGGUUCAACCACCUUUUCAAGAGUGGUUCAAGACCAGUGAGUGCUCUCCAGUCCUUCA
ensembl:vault_RNA Vault Vault RNA